CUACGGGAUGCUGCAGUGGGGAAUAUUGGACAAUGGGGGAAACCCUGAUCCAGCAAUGCCGCGUGUGUGAAGAAGGCCUGCGGGUUGUAAAGCACUUUCGGUUGGGAGGACUGCUUCUAGCACUAAUAUUGCUGGAAGUUGACGUUACCUUCAGAAGAAGCACCGGCUAACUCCGUGCCAGCAGCCGCGGUAAUACGGAGGGUGCAAGCGUGAACCGGAAUUACUGGGCGUAAAGCGCGCGUAGGCGGCUAGAUCAGUCGGGUGUGAAAGCCCCGGGCUUAACCUGGGAACUGCAUCCGAUACUGUCUAGCUUGAGUACAGGAGAGGAGGGUGGAAUUCCACAUGUAGCGGUGAAAUGCGUAGAUAUGUGGAGGAACACCAAUGGCGAAGGCAGCUCUCUGGCCUGAUACUGACGCUGAGGUGCGAAAGCGUGGGGAGCAAACAGGAUUAGAUACCCUAGUAGUC
rnacentral:rRNA from 1 species